rnacentral:sRNA from 1 species
UUCUACAAUGCUAAGUUUACCUGGUUU